UCUCUUUCCCUCGUUCUGUAGGUCAAACGGUGUGAUCUGGAGAAGUCAUAUUGAGUCGGUGAAGGGAGGAGCUGCUGGAGGAGUUUCUUCACUCACUGCAGAUCUUCACUAAACUACUUCACUUCAGACCGACAGCUUCACUGGCUUUAUGAACAAUUCAAGGUUUACUAUCACAGUUCUGUUGUGAAGCUGCCUUGCAAACUGCUGAAGAAAUGAUCAUUUACAUUUAUUUGUUUUCAUGGAGUCUGGCUGGUGUGUUUGGAGUUGAUGAAGUGAAGUCCGUGUCAGUGACGGAGGGAGAAUCAGUGCGUCUAAACUCUGAUCUUACUGAAAUACAGAGAGACGAUGAGAUGACGUGGAAAUUUAACAACAUUAUGAUAGCUAAACUCAAUGUGAAGGACAAUACGAUCAGUGUUUAUAAUGAUAGUGCUGAUGGGAGAUUCAGAGACAGACUGAAGCUGGAUCAGACUGGAUCUCUGAUCAUCACAAACACCAGAACCACACACUCUGGAGAAUAUACAGUCACUGU